rnacentral:rRNA from 1 species
UACGGAGGGGGCUAGCGUUAUUCGGAAUUAUUGGGCGUAAAGGGCGCGUAGGCGGCCCGGUAAGUCAAAGGUGAAAUCCCUCGGCUCAACUGAGGAACUGCCUUUGAAACUGUCGGGCUUGAGGCCGGGAGGGGGUGGCGGAAUUCCCAGUGUAGCGGUGAAAUGCGUAGAUAUCUGGAGGAACACCGGUGGCGAAGGCGGCAUUCUGGACCGACAUUGACGCUGAGGAGCGAAAGCCAGGGGAGCAAAGCAGG